rnacentral:rRNA from 1 species
CAUGCUCUACAUUUCCUGAUUGAUCCUGCCGGACCUGACUGCUAUCGGAUUGGUACUAAGCCAUGCGAGUCGUUGUAGCAAUACAAGGCGGACUGCUCAGUAACACGUAGUUAACUUAACCUAUGGAUGGGAAUAACCUCGGGAAACUGAGAAUAAUACCCAAUGGGCCACAGUGCCUGGAAUGGCCUGUGGUUGAAAUGAUUUAUCGCCGUAGGAUAGGACUGCGGCCUAUCAGCUUGUUGGUGAGGUAAUGGCCCACCAAGGCUAUAACAGGUACGGGCUCUGAGAGGAGGGGCCCGGAGAUGGGUACUGAGACACGGACCCAGGCCCUAUGGGGCGCAGCAGGCGAGAAACCUUUGCAAUGUGCGAAAGCACGACAAGGUUAAUCCGAGUGUCUCCUGCUAAAGGAGUCUUUUGUCAGUUGUAGAAUCACUGGUGAAUAAGGGGUGGGCAAGUUCUGGUGUCAGCCGCCGCGGUAAAACCAGCUCCUCGAGUGGUCAGGAGGUUUAUUGGGCCUAAAGCAUCCGUAGCCGGUUGCAUAAGUUUUCGGUUAAAUCUAUGCGCUUAACGUAUAGGCCGCCGAAAAUACUGUGCAGCUAGGGAGUGGGAGAGGUCACGGUACUCGAUAGGAGGGGUCACUCCUUGAUCUAUUGAGACAC